rnacentral:rRNA from 1 species
ACGAUUGCCUUCGGGUGAUAGUGGCGCACGGGUGCGUAACGCGUGGGAAUCUGCCCUUAGGUUCGGAAUAACAGCUGGAAACGGCUGCUAAUACCGGAUGAUAUCGCGAGAUCAAAGAUUUAUCGCCUGAGGAUGAGCCCGCGUUGGAUUAGGUAGUUGGUGGGGUAAAGGCCUACCAAGCCGACGAUCCAUAGCUGGUCUGAGAGGAUGAUCAGCCACACUGGGACUGAGACACGGCCCAGACUCCUACGGGAGGCAGCAGUGGGGAAUAUUGGACAAUGGGCGCAAGCCUGAUCCAGCAAUGCCGCGUGAGUGAUGAAGGCCCUAGGGUUGUAAAGCUCUUUUACCCGGGAAGAUAAUGACUGUACCGGGAGAAUAAGCCCCGGCUAACUCCGUGCCAGCAGCCGCGGUAAUACGGAGGGGGCUAGCGUUGUUCGGAAUUACUGGGCGUAAAGCGCACGUAGGCGGCUUUGUAAGUCAGAGGUGAAAGCCUGGAGCUCAACUCCAGAACUGCCUUUGAGACUGCAUCGCUUGAAUCCAGGAGAGGUCAGUGGAAUUCCGAGUGUA